AGCAUAUCAAUAAGCGGAGGAAAAGAAACCAACAGGGAUUGCCCUAGUAACGGCGAGUGAAGCGGCAAUAGCUCAAAUUUGAAAGCUGGCCUUCUGGUCCGCAUUGUAAUUUGUAGAGGAUGCUUUGGGGCAGCCGCCUGUCUAAGUUCCUUGGAACAGGACGUCAUAGAGGGUGAGAAUCCCGUAUGUGACAGGACAUGGCACCCUAUGUAAAGCUCCUUCGACGAGUCGAGUUGUUUGGGAAUGCAGCUCUAAAUGGGAGGUAAAUUUCUUCUAAAGCUAAAUACUGGCGAGAGACCGAUAGCGCACAAGUAGAGUGAUCGAAAGAUGAAAAGCACUUUGGAAAGAGAGUUAAAAAGCACGUGAAAUUGUUGAAAGGGAAGCGCUUGCAAUCAGACUUGUUCUGACUGUUCGGCCGGUCUUCUGACCGGUUUAUUCAGUCUGGGCAGGCCAGCAUCAGUUUCGGCGGUCGGAUAAAGGCCUUGGGAAUGUGGCUCUGCCUUCGGGGAGAGUGUUAUAGCCCAGGGUGUAAUACGGCCAGCCGGGACUGAGGUCCGCGCUUCGGCUAGGAUGCUGGCGUAAUGGUUGUAAGCGACCCGUCUUGAAACACGGACCAAGGAGUCUAACAUCUAUGCGAGUGUUCGGGUGUCAAACCCCUACGCGUAAUUAAAGUGAACGGAGGUGGGAACCGCAAGGUGCACCAUCGACCGAUCCUGAUGUCUUCGGAUGGAUUUGAGUAAGAGCAUAGCUGUUGGGACCCGAAAGAUGGUGAACUAUGCCUGAAUAGGGUGAAGCCAGAGGAAACUCUGGUGGAGGCUCGCAGCGGUUCUGACGUGCAA
rnacentral:rRNA from 1 species